GACGUAGGGCGCGAGCGUUGUCCGGAUUUAUUGGGCGUAAAGAGCUCGUAGGCGGCUUGUCGCGUCGACCGUGAAAACUUGGGGCUCAACCCCAAGCCUGCGGUCGAUACGGGCAGGCUAGAGUUCGGUAGGGGAGACUGGAAUUCCUGGUGUAGCGGUGAAAUGCGUAGAUAUCAAGAGGAACACCUGAGGCGAGGGCGGGUUGCUAGGCUGACACUGACGCUGAGGCGCGAAAGCUAGGGUAGCAAACGGG
rnacentral:rRNA from 1 species